rnacentral:rRNA from 1 species
CCGGCACGGGUGAGUAACACGUAUGCAUCCACCUGUAACAGGGGGAGUAACCCGGAGAAAUCCGGACUAAUACCCCAUAAUAUGGGCGCUCCGCAUGGAGAGCCCAUUAAAGAGAGCAAUUUUGGUUACAGACGAGCAUGCGCUCCAUUAGCCAGUUGGCGGGGUAACGGCCCACCAAAGCGACGAUGGAUAGGGGUUCUGAGAGGAAGGUCCCCCACAUUGGAACUGAGACACGGUCCAA